rfam:Mus musculus chromosome 3, GRC primary reference assembly.
CACCCCUGACAGCGGGCAAAGAGACACCUUGUUGGUGGUGGUCUUACAUCAGUCAAGGGAAGAACAGGUGGCGGUCCUUUGCUCAUCCUAGCUUGAGGCUUGGCUUGGUGGCCAAAGCUGUCUUAUGCUUAGGACUCAUAA